AGAGUUUGAUCCUGGCUCAGGACGAACGCUGGCGGCGUGCCUAACACAUGCAAGUCACGGGGGGUAGCAAUACCAACCGGCGAACGGGUGCGGAACACGUGAGCAAUCUACCGAUUACUGGGGGAUAGCCGGCCCAACGGCCGGGUAAUACCGCAUACGCUCAAGAGGGGACAUCCCCAUUUGAGGAAACCUCCGGGGGUAAUCGAGGAGCUCGCGUCUUAUCAGCUAGUUGGUGAGGUAACGGCUCACCAAGGCUACGACGGGUAGCUGGUCUGAGAGGAUGGCCAGCCACAUUGGGACUGCGACACGGCCCAGACUCCUACGGGAGGCAGCAGUGGGGAAUAUUGCGCAAUGGACGAAAGUCUGACGCAGCGACGCCGCGUGUGGGAUGAAGCUCUUCGGGGUGUAAACCACUGUUGCCCGGGACGAAUAUCCUUUUUUGAAAGGAUUGACGGUACCGGGUGAGGAAGCACCGGCUAACUCUGUGCCAGCAGCCGCGGUAAUACAGAGGGUGCGAGCGUUGUCCGGAAUCACUGGGCGUAAAGGGCGCGUAGGUGCUUGUUAAGCGUGUGGUGAAAGCCUGGGGCUCAACCCCAGGUCUGCCGUGCGAACUGGCAAGCUUGAGCGUAGUAGAGGCAGGUGGAAUUUCGGGUGUAGCGGUGGAAUGCGUAGAUAUCCGAAAGAACACCGGUGGCGAAGGCGGCCUGCUGGGCUACUGCUGACACUGAUGCGCGACAGCGUGGGGAGCAAACAGGAUUAGAUACCCUGGUAGUCCACGCCGUAAACGAUGGGUACUAGGCGUCUGGGGGAGCGACCCCCUGGGUGCCGGCGCUAACGCAUGAAGUACCCCGCCUGGGGAGUACGGCCCAAGGCUGAAACUCAAAGGAAUUGACGGGGGCCCGCACAAGCGGUGGAGCAUGUGGUUUAAUUCGACGCAACGCGAAGAACCUUACCUGGGUUUGACAUUCUGGAGAAAGCCCUCAGAAACGGGGGCCCCUCUUCGGAGUUCCAGCACAGAUGCUGCAUGGCUGUCGUCGGCUCGUGUCGUGAGAUGUUGGGUUAAGUCCCGCAACGAGCGCAACCCUCAUCCCUAGUUACCAGCGGGUAAAGCCGGGAACUCUAGGGGGACUGCCGGUGCCAAACCGGACGAAGGUGGGGACGACGUCAAGUCAUCAUGGCUCUUACAUCCAGGGCUACACACGUGCUACAAUGGGCCAGACAAAGGGUCGCCAACCCGCGAGGGGGAGCCAAUCCCAUAAACUGGUCCUCAGUUCGGAUUGCAGUCUGCAACUCGACUGCAUGAAGCUGGAAUCGCUAGUAAUCGUGGAUCAGCUACGCCACGGUGAAUACGUUCCC
rnacentral:rRNA from 1 species